GGAGAGGUGGCUGAGCGGACGAAAGCGCCUGCCUCGAAAGUAGGUGAGCAAGUUUCUUGCUUCGUGGGUUCGAAUCCCACCCUCUCCGCCA
rnacentral:tRNA from 1 species